GGAGGGGGCUAGCGUUAUUCGGAAUUACUGGGCGUAAAGCGCACGUAGGCGGACCGGAAAGUCAGAGGUGAAAUCCCAGGGCUCAACCUUGGAACUGCCUUUGAAACUCCUGGUCUUGAGGUCGAGAGAGGUGAGUGGAAUUCCGAGUGUAGAGGUGAAAUUCGUAGAUAUUCGGAGGAACACCAGUGGCGAAGGCGGCUCACUGGCUCGAUACUGACGCUGAGGUGCGAAAGCGAGGGGAGCAAACAGGAUUAGAUACCCUGGUAGUCCACGCCGUAAACGAUGAAUGCCAGUCGUCGGGCAGCACGCUGUUCGGUGACACACCUAACGGAUUAAGCAUUCCGCCUGGGGAGUACGGCCGCAAGGUUA
rnacentral:rRNA from 1 species